AAUCAACGCUGGCGGCGUGCCUAACACAUGCAAGUCGAACGCGAAAGUUCCUUCGGGGAUGAGUAGAGUGGCGUCCGGGUGAGUAACGCGUGGGUAAUCUGCCUUUGGGGUGGGGGAGUAACUCAGGGAAACGUUAGGGCGUAAUACCGCAUAAUGCAGCGGCUCGACAUCGAGACAGUUGUUAAAGACAGCAAUGCGCCUGAAGAGGAGCCUGCGUCUGAUUAGCAGUUGGUAAGGUAAUGGCUUACCAAGGCUACGAUCAGUAGCUGGUCUGAGAGGACGGCCAGCCACAAUGGCACUGAAACACGGGCCAUACUCCUACGGGAGGC
rnacentral:rRNA from 1 species